rnacentral:rRNA from 1 species
GUGGGUAACCUGCCCUGUACUGGGGGAUAACACUUAGAAAUAGGUGCUAAUACCGCAUAAGCGCACAGUGCCGCAUGGCACAGUGUGAAAAACUCCGGUGGUACAGGAUGGACCCGCGUCUGAUUAGAUAGUUGGUGAGGUAACGGCCCACCAAGUCAACGAUCAGUAGCCGGCCUGAGAGGGUGAACGGCCACAUUGGGACUGAGACACGGCCCAAACUCCUACGGGAGGCAGCAGUGGGGAAUAUUGCACAAUGGGGGAAACCCUGAUGCAGCGACGCCGCGUGAGUGAAGAAGUAUUUCGGUAUGUAAAGCUCUAUCAGCAGGGAAGAAAAUGACGGUACCUGACUAAGAAGCCCCGGCUAACUACGUGCCAGCAGCCGCGGUAAUACGUAGGGGGCAAGCGUUAUCCGGAUUUACUGGGUGUAAAGGGAGCGUAGACGGUGAGACAAGUCUGAAGUGAAAUCCCGGGGCUCAACCCCGGAACUGCUUUGGAAACUGCCUGACUAGAGUGCAGGAGAGGUAAGUGGAAUUCCUAGUGUAGCGGUGAAAUGCGUAGAUAUUAGGAGGAACACCAGUGGCGAAGGCGGCUUACUGGACUGUAACUGACGUUGAGGCUCGAAAGCGUGGGGAGCAAACAGGAUUAGAUACCCUGGUAGUCCACGCGGUAAACGAUGAUUACUAGGUGUCGGGGGUUUAUAAACCUUCGGUGCCGCCGCAAACGCAAUAAGUAAUCCACCUGGGGAGUA